CCAGAGUAAACUCUGGUGUAGGUCUGUAGCAGUUCUGACAUGCAAAUCAGUCGUCCGACCUGGGUAUAGGGGUCAAAGACUAAGUAGCUGGUUCCCUCCGAAAUUUCCCUCAGCAUAGCUGGUGCUCUCACAGAUGAAGCCCCCAUGGCAGUUUUAUCUGGUAAAGCAAAUGAUUAGAGGUCUUGGGGCCAAAACAAUCUCAACCUAUUCUCAAACUUUAAAUGGGUAAGAAGCCUGGCUUGCUGGCAUGAAGCUGGGUGUGGAAUGUGAGUGCCUAGUGUGCCACUUUUGGUAAGCAGAACUGGCACUGCGGGUUAAGGUGCCUGAUGCUGACACUCAUCAGACCCCAGAAAAGAUGUUGGUUGAUAUAGACAGCAGGAUGGUGGCCAUUGAAGUCAGAAUCAGCUAAUGAGUGUGUAACAACUUACCUGCUGAAUCAACUAGCCCUGAAAACGAAUGGCACUGGAGCAUUGGGCCCAUACUUGGCUGUCGCCGGCAGUCGGGAAGGGACAGGAGCAGCCUCCUGGGCCCCCCCUCUUCUUCCUCCUCCUCCUGCUCCUCUCCUGGGGGGGGUGGGAGUGCAUGCGUGUAGGGUGGGACACCUGGGAGUGCACACUGCCCACAGACACUAUGCCAUGACGAGUAGGAGGGCCACUGCGGUGAGCCUUGAAGCCUAGGGUGCAGGCCCAGGUGGAGCUGCCACAGGUGCAGAUCAUGGUGGUAGUAGCAAAUAUUCAAAUGAGAACUUUGAAGGCCAAAGUGGAGAAGGGUUCCAUGUGAACAGCAGUUGAACAUGGGUCAGUCAGUCCUGAGAGAUGGGUGAGUGCUGUUCCAAAGGGAGAGGCAAUGGCCUCUGUUGCCCUCAGCUGAUUGAAAGGGAGUUGGGUUCAGACACCCAAAUGCAGAGUGGUGGAGAUAGGCAAUGUGAGGUGUCCAGUGUGGUAAUGCAUCCGAUCCCAGAGAAGCUAGCAGGAGCCCUGGGGAGAGUUUACUUUUCUUUGUGGAGGACAGGGAGCCCUGGAAAGGGUUUGCCCCAAGAAAGGGGCCCACGUCUUGGAAAGCAUAGUGGUUCUGGUGGCAUCUGGUGAGCACCCGCUGGCCCUUGACAAUCCAGGGGGAGAGGGUGUAAAUCUCACGCCAGGCAAUACCCAUAUCCGCAGCAGGUCUCCAAGGUGAACAGCCUCUGGCAUGUUGGAACAAUGUAGGCAAGGGAAGUCAGCAAGCUGGAUCCAUAACUUCAGGAUAAGGAUUGGCUCUAAGGGCUGUGUCGAUCAGGCCGGGAUGUGAAGCAGGGCUGGGCAUAUGCCAGGGCUGGACGAGGCACCGCUGCCGGGCCCGCCCCUGCAGCCCGUCACCAGUCCUUCUUCACGCACACAUGUGUGCACUGCUGCCCUCCCCUGCCACGUCCCUCUCCCCCACUCCUGGGUAGGUUGCAGGGCGGUGGCGGCGGGUCAUCGCAGUCAUCACUGUGCACUAGGGGUUUCUCAGGAGGGUGGCAGUCCCCUGCAGGGGGUUCUGCAGGCCACCGGGGGCAUUCUUGGACACCCAGUGGGGUCGCUGGCAGCAGUGACUCUGAACGCAAGCUUGCUCCUUCCCGUGGAUCACUCAGCUGUGGUGGGUGUCAUGGCUGCACCUGGGGAGCCCAAUGGGGCAGACUGGCGUUCCUGCCCCCUUGCCUCAGCUGGUGCCUAGCAGCUGAAUUAGAACUGAUGUGGACUUGGGGAAUCCGACUGUUUAAUUAAAACAAAGCAUCACAAUGACCCACAGUGGGUGUUGACACAAUGUGAUUUCUGCCCAGUGCUCUGAAUGUCAAAGUGAAGAAAUUCAGUGAAGCACAGGUAAAUGGUGGGAUCAACUGUGACUCUCUUAAGGUAGCCAAAUGCCUCAUCAUCUAAUUAGUGACAUGCAUGAAUGGAUGAAUGAGAUUCCCACCAUCCCUACCUACUAUCCAGUGAAACCUCAGCCAAGGGAACGGGCUUGGUGGAAUCAGUGGGGAAAGAAAGCCCUGUUGAGCUUGACUCUAGUCUGGCAUGGUGAAGAGACAAGAGGUGUAGAAUAAGUGGGAGGCCCCCAGCAUCCCACCCCCAUGUUCUCCCAUCGAGGUGGGUGCAGGGCAGGGUCACACCGGCACUCACGGGCCGCCAGUGAAAUACCACUAUUCUGAUUGUUUUUUCACUGACCUGGUGAGGCAGGGGGCAAGCCCUGAGGGGCUCUUGCUUCUGGUUCCAGGCGUGAACCACUCCAGGGACAGUGUCAAGUGGGGAGUUUGACUGGGGCAGUACACCUGUCAAAUGGUAAUGCAGGUGACCUAAGGCGAGCUCAGGGAGGACAGAAACCUCCUGGGGAGCAGAAGAGCAAAAGCUUGCUUGAUCUUGAUUUUCAGUACGAAUACAGACCGUGAAAGUGGGACCUCACUAUCCUUCUGACCUUUUGGGUCUUAAGCAGGAGGUGUCAGAAAGGUUACUACAGGGAUAACUGGCUUGUGGUGGUCAAGCACUCAUAGCAACAUCGCUUUUUGAUCCUUCAACGUCAGCUCUUCCUAUCAUUGUGAAGCAGAAUUCACCAAGAAUUGGAUUAUUCAUCCACUAAUAGGGAAAGUGAGCUGGGUUUAGACCGUCGUGAGACAGGUUAGUUUUAUCCUACUGAUGAUGUGUUUUUGCCAUGGUAAUCCUGCUCAGUAUGACAAGAACCGCAGAUUCAGAGAUUUGGUGUAUGUGCUUGGCUGAGGAGCCAAUGGAGUGAAGCUACCAUCUGUGGGAUUAUGACUGAACGCAUCUAAGACAGAAUCCUGCCCAGGCAGAAUGAUACGGCUCCCGAGGAGCCUCGGUUGGCCUCGGAUAGCCAUGCCUCCACAGUCCCUGCCGGGACUGGUUGGUGGCUGGGGGUCCCCAAACUCAGUCAGGUCCGCCCCUGAGCCAUCACUGCUGCAUAUUUGGGACCGGGGAUCCAGUGCAGAGAGCCCUUCAUCCCGGGAAACAGGGCAUAGCCGCGAAAGUCAGCUGCUCUCUUGC
rnacentral:rRNA from 1 species